GCCAAAAUUGUCUUUGAUUCCAGUUUGCUGUAAUUUUGGAAGUUUUUUGGUUUUGUUUUGGGUUUUUUUGUCAUUGUGAAAAGGUCUGAUUGGAUUCAUCAGUUUUGCCUUUUAUCUUUUUAUUUAUUAGGAAUUUUACUUCCUAAUUUACCUCUUUGCCGAAUUGAUAUUUUAUUUGGACUUCUGGCACUGCAAAGAAAUAUCGCUCAACAAUUGGAUGAUGCCCACCCACAUCAAAGAGUAACUUGAUAUGGUUCAGCAGACCUGUAAGAACAUAGAAGACAAUUCUCCAUGGAUCUCUUGCAUAUUGGCAUACCUUUCAAGUGAGAUCAGUCUCUGGAAGUUGACUUCUAAUUCCCCAACGUUGGAGUUUUAUUUUACCGAAUGCCUGGAAUGGACUCUUACAGAUUCAAGAGAGAGAGAGAGAGAGAGCACGACUGGGGGGAGGGCCAGAUGUACAGGGAGAGAGAAUCCUCAAGUGGACUCCCCGCUGAACAUGGAGCCCAACGCAGGGCACAAUCCCAGGACCCUGAGAUCAUGACCUGAGCCGAAUUCAAGAGUUGGCUGCUUGACUGACUGAGCCACCCAGGUGCCCCUUAAAUGAUUUUAAAGUUUUAAAUAGUCUUUUUGUGUACAUAUAUAAUUAUAGAAAUAGUUAUUUAGUAAUAACUGAUUGAAUUCUACCUCUUUGCUACCUUUACUUAAAUUUUUAAAUUUCUUCUGAAAUAUAAACAUCCGUCCA